GGCUAUGUAGCUCAGUGGUUAGAGCACAACACUCAUAACGUUGGGGGCACCGGUUCAAAUCCUGUCAUAGCCACCA
rnacentral:tRNA from 1 species